rnacentral:rRNA from 1 species
UACAGAGGUCUCAAGCGUUUGUUCGGAUUCAUUGGGCGUAAAGGGUGCGUAGGCGGCCCCGUAAGUCAGUGCUGAAAUAUCCCGGCUUAACCGGGAGGGUGGCAUUGAUACUGCGAGGCUUGAGUAAAGUUGAGGUAGGCGGAAUUGACGGUGUAGCGGUGAAAUGCUUAGAUAUCGUCAAGAACACCGAUAGUGUAGACAGCUUACUAGCUUUAACUGACGCUGAGGCACGAAAGUGUGGGGAUCAAACAGG